rnacentral:sRNA from 1 species
GCCGGGCGUGGUCGUGCAUGCCUAUAAUCCCAGCCGCUAGGGAGGCUGAGGCAGGAGGAUCAUGAGUUGAAAGUCAACCUCAGCAAAAGCAAGGCUCUAAGCAGCUCAGUGAGACCCUGUCUCUA